rnacentral:lncRNA from 1 species
AUCACCAUUCACCAAACUCAGUUGACAAUUUACAAGCACUCACUCAUAUAAUAUCGAACUCUGAAUUGAAACAAGCUGUAGGCUUUAACAGUUUCCUGUUAGCCGUAAAAAAGGGAGAGAUAGAAAUUACAAAAUGGCUGGUAAAUAGAAUUGAAUUCUGUACAACAUCAUCAAAGUAUAAAAUAGCUGCUAAAUAGAAUAGAAUUCUGGCUUUUCCCAUAUAGCAAGCAGCUUUUGCCUCGUCUUUGAUCUAUCAGUAAUGCCUGCUUCUAUAAGACUGGAGCAGCAGCUUCUAAAAAUUUGCUUGCUUCAUUAGAAAUUUGCUUGCUUCAUUGGAGCAGCAGCUUCAUUGGAGAGAAAUUUUCUUAAUUCACCAUACCGAUCGCACCAUGACCUGAAGAACAGAAGAAGAACAAAUUCAAAACACAAAUAAAUAAUAGAUCACAGAUUACAAAGCAAAGUAUAGAAACUGAAACUGCAUUCAAGUUCUAAAUUCAUUAUAAAGUCAAAGUAUAGAAACUGAAACUGCAAUAAAGUGAAUGACUUACACAAAUGAAUAAACUGCAAUAAAGUGAACAAAUUGCAAUCUGAACUGCAAUAAAGUGAAGAGUCAGGUUGCCUGAGGAAACUGAAACUGCAUCAACCAAGUAUAGAAACUGAAACUGCUCCAAUGAUCAAAAAGCCUCUCUUAUAGACUACCCAACAAAAAGUCCAUAACUUGUUUCUUACCUCUAAUAAACUCCAUAGUUUCAUUCAAGACCAAGUUCAGUGUCCCUGUUACUAUAUGAAAAAAAGUCACAAAACUUAAUCAUAAGACUGAAAAUCUAAGGGUGCUCUAACAGUAUUUGAAUGACUUCAAAUAAUAUGAAUAUAGCCCUCUAGUGGAUUAGUAUCAAGCAGACUAAGAAAUUAAAACAGUAGUGCAUUAUUCUCAGUCAAAGGCUUUAAGGCAUAUCAUCACAGAGUAAGACAAUACAUACACAAACUGAUAUCAAAAUACCGAACUGUUAUAGGGCAUAUCAUCACAGAGGUGGCGAAUUACAGGGAAUAUCAUCACAGAGGAACUUACAUACACAAAAUUCUUCCAAACUAAUAUCAAAAUACCGAACUGUUAUACUAAAAUUGAAGAAGUUUGACAAUCAAAGGUUGUAACAGGGAGAUUUUAGCACGAAUUCGAGUUAUAUGAAACUGAGUUACACGUACCUGAUUUGGAGAGAAGUUCGACUUUUGUUCUAAACUGAGAAACUGAGUUAUAGACGGCUUUUGUUCGUUCUCAGCGAAUCUAGGGCACAGCGAAUCACGAAUCUUAGAGAAGCAUUUGGAGAGAAUCGUGAAUCUAGGGCUUGGGUAUGAGAAGAAUUCGCGUUUUGGGACAAUCGCGUUUUGGGACAACCGCGUAUUUUGAGAGAAAAGAGAGACAAUCACGUUUUGGGCUAGGGCUGGGAUUUGGGAAUUGCAGAAGGAAGGCUCGGUUUUUAU